UCUCCGACAAAAUUCGCUCGACCCCGGCCGAAACCCUAGCCGCCGGAGCGCCCGUGCAUCACGGCGGCAGCACGCGGCGGAGGCGGAGGCGACGCGCACAUCACCGGCUGGACGGCGAAAUUGCCGUUCUCCCCAAACCGGCGACGCGUGGGCGGCGUAAGACGGGAGGCACUGGCGGGCGGCGGGCGGCGGGCACUCGGCUUACGUGGAAUGGGGAAUGAAGCUGCGGUGGAUCAAGGAGUUGUACAACGGGCCAAAUGUCUGCGUCGAGCGGAGAUGGGCGUGAAGAGAGACAAGCGAUGCAUCCGCCCGUAGUGACGCAGCCGUUGAUAAGAUGGUGAUCCGCCAUGAUGCUCACGGGUUUCCAGGCUGGCGUCGACAGUACCUGGGUUCAUGUAAGCCACACCUGGACCACGAGGCAUCCAGCAAAGAUGGUUGACCUCCAGUCCCGUGGCGGUCCGGUGCGUGCGUUGCGGUGGAGAUGCCAUGCAUAUAUAGGAGGCAAAUUGGUCUCCCUACCUGUAGACUCAGGGGAGGCAGCCUGAGCGAUAUGAGGGCGGUCGGUUCGACUAGUUGGAUGGGCAUGCUUGAACUAACCGUAUGUUGCAUAUCUGUUGCGGCCUUACAACGGUUCUGUGAUUGUUCCCUUGAGGUUCUUCUUACCCUGUGAAAUCUGUUUACGCAAUUAUUUUGCUAAUAGAACAGUACAGUGGUACCCCUGCUGGGCAGCGAUGGCCUGCAGAUUUGCUC